rnacentral:rRNA from 1 species
UACGUAGGGUGCGAGCGUUGUCCGGAAUUAUUGGGCGUAAAGAGCUUGUAGGCGGUCUGUCGCGUCUGCUGUGAAAAUCCGGGGCUCAACCCCGGACUUGCAGUGGGUACGGGCAGACUAGAGUGUGGUAGGGGAGACUGGAAUUCCUGGUGUAGCGGUGAAAUGCGCAGAUAUCAGGAGGAACACCGAUGGCGAAGGCAGGUCUCUGGGCCAUAACUGACGCUGAGGAGCGAAAGCGUGGGGAGCGAACAGG